CACCUUAGCUCUCGAACUUUAAAUCAUUAUAAUUUUUGGCUCAAAUUAUGAGACGCGUGAAACUUUAAUCCUUAAACUUAGUUGUAAUUUUUGGCUCGAAUUAUAAGCUAUGUGAUAUUUUACUUUUUGGAGUUAUUGAAUUAUUACAAUCCAAUCCCACAAUCCAAAUUUUAAAAAAUAAGUAUUGUUUAAUUACUAACAUCAAAGUAAUGCUAUGUUCUAACUAUUGUUGUAUCAUCAAAGUAGGAUUUGUUAUAAUUCAGAAAGUUUGAGAACUAAUAUGUCACAUAUCUCGUAGUUUGAGUCAAAAAUUAUAAUCAAUAAAAGUUUGAAAACUAAAGUAUCACACGCCUCAUAAUUCGAGACAAAAAUUACAACGAAUUAAAAUUUGAGGACUAAAGUGUAAAAUGCCGUAUAGUUU
rnacentral:lncRNA from 1 species